rnacentral:rRNA from 1 species
UACGUAGGGUGCGAGCGUUAAUCGGAAUUACUGGGCGUAAAGCGUGCGCAGGCGGUUUUGUAAGUCAGAUGUGAAAUCCCCGAGCUCAACUUGGGAAUGGCAUUUUGAACUGGCAGUCUAGAGUGUGUCAGAGGGGGGUGGAAUUCCACGUGUAGCAGUGAAAUGCGUAGAUAUGUGGAGGAACACCAAUGGCGAAGGCAGCCCCCUGGGAUAACACUGACGCUCAUGUACGAAAGCGUGGGUAGCAAACAGG